AAUAAGUUAAUGCAUGUAUUAAAGAUUUUGCAUUACUAAUACAUAGAAAAUGGGUGGUACUAGAAAUACACACCUUAAUACACAAGAUAGUGUAUAACUAAUGCUUGCAUUAGUUAUACAUUGACUAAAGAUUGUAUCAACCAAGGUAUUCAUAAAACAUAUUAAUUAAUACAUGCAUUAUUUUUGCCAAUACACUUUACCAAACGACCCCUUAGUGCAUUGCCCGAUAGUAUAUGGAAGCUCAUAACAGAGAUAAGCUCAUUUUUCAAAAAUUUAUGUUCUAACACAUUAAGGUAGGAGAACCUAUCUUUGAUGAAUAUCAAUAUUCGCUUAACCUUAAACAAGUUGGAAAAAAAUUUUCCUUCUGUUUUUUUUUUAAUGUUAUGGAGCAUCUUUCAAUUCACCUCGUGUAAGAGGCACGACUUGGAGUGCCUGUUCAGUGUAGAUGACCGUAUCCCUUUGAGAGGUAUUGACUUUUAACAUUUACCUUUAUGUGUUUUAAUUGAAAAUUAUUUCAUCUAAAAGAUCAUACUAUGCAGGACCAUUGGCAAAUGUAAGCAGAACAUAAAAAAAUAGAUCUCGAAUUAAGGGAUCAAUAUGUGGGGCUUAUUUGGCUAAGAGACCUCUUAUUUUUGUUCAUAUUAUUUUGACAUGAUUUACCAUUUCUAAGAAACCAAACUAAUAGGCAUGGUGAUUGAUACAAUACAAAUCAUUCAGCACUGCCAUUUUCAAUAUUCAAUCAACCAGGUAAAGGAAGGUAAAGGAAGGUAAAGGAAGCUGAAAGUUGGUCCACUUCGAUAUUUGAAUGAGGUUAAGUCAGCUACUACACAUGUAUUAUUAAAUUGUCCGUGGUCCUGCCUUUUUAUAAGUGAGUAUAUUUGUAUUAAUGACAAUCAUUCAAGGACUAUCUAAGUUUUAACUAAUGAAAAUCAUAACUUCGUCGGACAGCUACUUUGUGGCUUUACAUGGGGAUGUUGCUGUUUAUCUUAUGUUUUCAGUAUGGUUUAGAGAAUAUGUUCAUAAUCUAGUUAAUUUUGACCCAAAUGGCUAAUUUUUACGUGAUAUAACUUGGGGACCUGAUGCUAAAGUCAAAAAGUUUUCUAGGUACUCUGUCAAUGGGUACAUAUUUCAUAUAGAAGAGUUCUCUAAGAGCAAGAAAGGGGUGUGGGUGAAAGGUGAUGGUGGUGUUGAUUAUUAUGGUGUGCUUCAAGAGAUUUUAGAACUCGAUUAUCAUGUUGGUUGUCCAAAGAAAAAGUUGGGGUACUCUUUCGGUGUAAGUGGUAAGAUCUUACGCCUGGGUUAGGUACAAAGGUGCACCCUCAGUACAAAAUAGUUGAAAUUAAGCGUAUGAGGGAGUAUGGACUCUAUAAUCCAUUUGUCAUUGCACAAAAUGUGAAACAAGUGUAUUACGCUCCUUAUCCUUUGUGUAAUAAUAAAUCUGCAUGGCGGGUAGUUAUAAAAACGAAGCCCAUGGGUAGAGUUGAAGUAAGGAUGCAUUGGAUGUAGCAUAUCAGAAUGACAUUUCAAGUGUUAAAGAAAGGGUGGAUGAUGAAUUAGCAGGUGAGUU